UAUACGUGUGAUAAGCAUUUUCAUUCCUCUUUCCUUUUGUCAUUUCUCGCUGUACUUCAACAGGCUGAGUCAUCUUAAGCGUUCUUAAGCAAUCAUCGAGUUCUUCAGAGAUUCCUGCAGAUCAGAGCCAGCUUAAGCGCCUUCAGCACCGGCGUCGCGAAGAAAAACAACGGCAGCAUCACCACACUGCACUGCACAGAAACAGAACCACCCACGACCGCUGCAGAUAUAUCCCCAACAUGUCAUACCUUUUUGCCCCGAACGCUUGCCCACACAGCGUCUCCAGCGCGCUAGCCAUGCCCAGCAUCAGCCCCAAGUCGAACCCCAGAAUCACGUUGCAGGCGAUAGACAUGGCCGCCAGUUCGAGGUCUCCCAGGUGACCGGCGAAUGCUUCGGUGAUCACGAACAUGGAGUACGAAGCAAUACGGCCCAAGAUAGCCGGCCCCACGAUCUGCCAUAGCUUCUUUGAUUCAACCCAAAACCUCCCCUAAAACUUCUUUUCCUCUUCUUCUUCUUCUUCUUCACUGUUAUUUUGGACGACCUGGGCCGAUGAAUAGUCUAAUAACGGCACCUUAUUUUCGUCCAUGCUGCCAUUGCCAGACAUUUUCUUAGCUCUUGAUCGAACCGGCAGGAGCAAAUAAUAAGAGAAAGAAGGAGAAA